AAUACCGCCGGAAGUAGAACAUUUAUGUCAAAACCGGUUUCGUAUUUUCACGUGAAAACGGCCGAAAACUGAGAGGUUAUCAACAAAUUAUAAGUUUACGGGUUCCAUGAGGAUUUUUCAUGCAUUUAAACGACAGAAGUACAAGUGAACAGAUGACAUAUUAAAGUGGCUGCAGAAGCUUGAAAAGUUAGAUAGAGCAGGGGCAGUCAAAACAGUGGGAUAAUACUUCUAUGGUGUCCAACAUGUCUAGUCAGGUUGACAGAAGUGAAAGAUGGUCUGAUGGUACAAUGAUGUACAAAUGAUACUCUUUAACAAGUUUAAGAUGUCAAGGUGUAAAAUGUUCUGUGGAUUCAUAUGAUGAGAAUGCCAGUGUUGAUCUGUAUGACUUAAUUAAACACAGACAUUGAUAUCUUCAGAUAUGUACCUGUGAAAUCUUUAGUGUCACCGUUCAGCUAUUGUUCAAGAUCAGUGUCUGCAGCUUGCACAGUUUAGUAUAGAGGAGCCUUCUGAAUCAAUUUUGUUACAUAUUUUCUGUUAUUGUAGGACACACAUGUAGAGAGCAACAAGUCCUGUCCAGCCGUGCAUGUAAAUGUGAUUCAGAAACUUUGAGAAUAUGUAAACAUUACACUGUUAUAAUUUUCAAAAUGCUGUGUCUUGCAGUGUAUCAAUACUGUUUUGUCUCAGUUUAUAGCACAGUAUGUUCACAAAUCAAACUUAAGACCAUAGUGAUCAGUAUUAUUAAAAUCAUUAAUUAUUUGUAUGGUGACAAAAUUUAAUUUCAUGCAAUACCACAGUAAAACGUUUGAUAAUUUUCACUUUAAAAGUUGUAAGUUUAAAGUUGGCAUAAAUUGUUUUUCUCCUUCAUAAAUCUAAAAAGUGAUUGGUCAUUAUAAUUGCAAUAUCAUUUUAGUAUGACAAAGUUUAUAUUGAACUAAAACACUAAUGUAAAUUUUUGAACUAGUCAAUGCAUUUUCUUCAGUCUUAAAACAUUUGUUUAUCGUACGUGUCAUGGCCCAUAACUCCUCAAUAUUACUUGUGUUUUGUCCUUUUUAGUUUCACUGAAUAAUAGGUAGAGGUAUUGCACAUCCAUUUUAUAGCAUCUCUAUUUUGUAAAGUGUUGUAUGUAAGGUUUUAUCUCGGAAUUAUGUCUCAUCUAAAGGUGGGGAGAGAUAUUGUUUAUGCCUUCUCGUCUGUCCGCAUUAAGCCUGUCUGGCUUUAAGAGGACAAGCUGCUGGCCAGAUUUUGAUGAAACUUCACAAGACUGAUCAGUACCAAGCAUAGUGUUGUGCAUAUCGCUUGCAUGUUUCGUUUCGAUGCACUAAAUUGCAGCCAGAGCUAAAAAUAGAAAAAUCUUGUCGGCUUUCACAGGUCAAAACUACUUAACAGAUUUUGAUGAAACUUCACAGGAGUGAUCAGUACCAAGUAUAUUUUUGCAUAUCACCGACACUUUCCAUUUUGCUGCACAAAAUAGCUGCCAUACUAUUGCUAAAGGUAUACAUAGGUGGGAGACAUAUUUUGUCAUAAAAAUACCUAAAACACCUUCCACUUUCGUCUUUGUUAAUGAAAAUGUAUCAAACUUCUUACAA